rnacentral:rRNA from 1 species
GACGAACGCUGGCGGCGUGCUUAACACAUGCAAGUCGAACGGAAAGGCCUGCUUUCCCUUGUGGAUUGCGGGUACUCGAGUGGCGAACGGGUGAGUAACACGUGAGUGAUCUGCCCCCAACUUGGGUAUAAGCCUGGGAAACUGGGUCUAAUUCCCGAUAGGACUGCAGGGUGGUGCCUGUGGUGGAAAACGAUUUUCUAGUUGUUGGGGAUGAGCUCGCGGCCUAUCAGCUUGUUGGUGGGGUAAUGGCCUACCAAGGCGGCGACGGGUAGCCGGCCUGGGAGGGUGGACGGGCACAUUGGGACUGGGACACGGCCCAGACUCCUACGGGAGGCAGCAGUGGGGAAUAAUGCACAAUGGGCGGAAGCCUGAUGCAGCGACGCGGCGUGGGGGAUGACGGCCUUCGGGUUGUAAACUCCUUUCGAGCGCGAGGAAGCCACCUGGUUGGAAGGGUGGUGACGGUAGUGGUAGAAGAAGCACCGGCUAACUACGUG